AGGGUUCGAUUCUGGCUCAGGAUGAACGCUGGCGGCGUGCUUAACACAUGCAAGUCGAACGGGAUCCCAAAGCUUGCUUUGGGUGAGAGUGGCGAACGGGUGAGUAAUGCGUGACCGACCUGCCCUGUACUCCGGAAUAGCUCCUGGAAACGGGUGGUAAUGCCGGAUGCUCCACAUGAGCGCAUGCGAUUGUGGGAAAGCUUUUGCGGUAUGGGAUGGGGUCGCGUCCUAUCAGCUUGACGGUGGGGUAACGGCCCACCGUGGCUUCGACGGGUAGCCGGCCUGAGAGGGCGACCGGCCACAUUGGGACUGAGAUACGGCCCAGACUCCUACGGGAGGCAGCAGUGGGGAAUAUUGCACAAUGGGCGCAAGCCUGAUGCAGCGACGCCGCGUGCGGGAUGGAGGCCUUCGGGUUGUAAACCGCUUUUCAUUGGGAUCAAGGCACCUUCGGGUGUUGAGUGUACUUUUGGAAUAAGCACCGGCUAACUACGUGCCAGCAGCCGCGGUAAUACGUAGGGUGCAAGCGUUAUCCGGAAUUAUUGGGCGUAAAGAGCUCGUAGGCGGUUCGUCGCGUCUGGUGUGAAAGCCCAUCGCUUAACGGUGGGUCUGCGCCGGGUACGGGCGGGCUGGAGUGCGGUAGGGGAGACUGGAAUUCCCGGUGUAACGGUGGAAUGUGUAGAUAUCGGGAGGAACACCAAUGGCGAAGGCAGGUCUCUGGGCCGUUACUGACGCUGAGGAGCGAAAGCGUGGGGAGCGAACAGGAUUAGAUACCCUGGUAGUCCACGCCGUAAACGGUGGACGCUGGAUGUGGGGCCCUUUCCACGGGUUCCGUGUCGGAGCUAACGCGUUAAGCGUCCCGCCUGGGGAGUACGGCCGCAAGGCUAAAACUCAAAGAAAUUGACGGGGGCCCGCACAAGCGGCGGAGCAUGCGGAUUAAUUCGAUGCAACGCGAAGAACCUUACCUGGGCUUGACAUGUUCCCGACAGCGGCAGAGAUGUCGCCUCCCUUCGGGGCGGGUUCACAGGUGGUGCAUGGUCGUCGUCAGCUCGUGUCGUGAGAUGUUGGGUUAAGUCCCGCAACGAGCGCAACCCUCGCCCCGUGUUGCCAGCAAUUCGGUUGGGGACUCACGGGGGACCGCCGGGGUUAACUCGGAGGAAGGUGGGGAUGACGUCAGAUCAUCAUGCCCCUUACGUCCAGGGCUUCACGCAUGCUACAAUGGCCGGUACAACGGGAUGCGACAAGGCGACUUGGAGCGGAUCCCUGAAAACCGGUCUCAGUUCGGAUCGGAGCCUGCAACCCGGCUCCGUGAAGGUGGAGUCGCUAGUAAUCGCGGAUCAGCAACGCCGCGGUGAAUGCGUUCCCGGGCCUUGUACACACCGCCCGUCAAGUCAUGAAAGUGGGCAGCACCCGAAGCCGGUGGCCUAACCUCUUUUGAGGGGGGAGCCGUCUAAGGUGAGGCUCGUGAUUGGGACUAAGUCGUAACAAGGUAGCCGUACCGGAAGGUGCGGCUGGAUCACCU
rnacentral:rRNA from 2 species